rnacentral:rRNA from 1 species
CCCUUAGAUGUUCUGGGCCGCACGCGCGCUACACUGAUGAAUUCAACGAGUUUUUCUUGUGCUCUGUUUUAGGGGUGCGGAAUGUCCUUGGUCGGAAGGCCUGGGUAAUCUUGUAAAUGUUCAUCGUGCUGGGGCUAGAUUUUUGCAAUUAUUAAUCUCCAACGAGGAAUUCCUAGUAAACGCAAGUCAUCAGCUUGCAUUGAUUACGUCCCUGCCCUUUGUACACACCGCCCGUCGCACCUACCGAUUGAACGGUCCGGUGAAAUCUUCGGAUCUGAAUUGAUGGUCUUUAUUGGUUGUCGAUUCGGAAAAGUUGAGUAAACCUUACCGUUUAGAGGAAGGUGAAGUCGUANCA